UACAGAGGGUGCGAGCGUUGUUCGGAAUUACUGGGCGUAAAGCGUGCGCAGGCGGUUUUGUUAGACGGUGGUGAAACCUCCGGGCUUAACCUGGGAACUGCUUGUGAACUGCAAGCUGGAGUGCGGCAGAGGGGGGUGGAAUUCCGACGUGUAGCAGUGAAAUGCGUAGAGAUGUGGAGGAACACCGAUGGCGGAAGGCAGCCCCCUGGGAUAAGACUGACGCUCAUGAUACGAAAGCGUGGGGAGCAAACAGG
rnacentral:rRNA from 1 species